CCCCCACUAGUCUGGGAUACCACUUGGAAACAGGUGCUAAUACCGGAUAAGAAAGCGGAUCGCAUGAUCAGCUUUUAAAAGGCGGCGUAAGCUGUCGCUAUGGGAUGGCCCUGCGGUGCAUUAGCUAGUUGGUAAGGUAAAGGCUUACCAAGGCGAUGAUGCAUAGCCGAGUUGAGAGACUGAUCGGCCACAUUGGGACUGAGACACGGCCCAAACUCCUACGGGAGGCAGCAGAC
rnacentral:rRNA from 1 species